GUUCUCUCCAUCCGUACACCUGUCAGCACGACCCUACCAGGUUCUUAAUGCCUUUUUUGUGUUCCCUUACAGAAGGUUAACAGAGAAGUGCAGGUUCAGGGCCUCACUCUAUACAAGAAAAUGACUGCUUAAUUAUGUCCAAAUUCUUGCUUCUUUUUUUCCCCUUUUUCUCCCCAUUUGGCACACUGAUGACAAGAAGCAUAACCUUUCUUGCAGGUAUUUUCUCUGGAGCAAUGGGAGAAGCUGGGAUUUUCUUUGGCUCAGCCCCAGCUGGCAUUCACUGCUGUUUAUCAGACCUCCACGCUGGACAGGUGUACCCAUUGCAGAGCAAACACACAGUGUGGCAGCACACGGGAGCACUCUGAGGCAGGGCUUCAGGACAGAAGUGCCGCAAAUGUGGAGCUGCGUGGCAAAGCCCUGCGGGUCCCCACCCUGCACUGCUGCAGGUCCACGUCCCACUGCAGGCACAUCACCUCACCUCUUUGGUCUUGUCCAGGUUGUAAGCACAGUCUCAAAGCAUUUGCCAGUGCUCCAGACUUCAGACUUUGCUUCACAAAUGCAACUUGUUGAGCCAUCCUCCAAGGUUUGGGCAAAGCACCAGUAGAAAACAACCUGUGCUCUCAGCCUCACAGUGUGUGGAUAUCUCUUGUACCUUCCUACCUCUGAAGUCCCAGCUGAGCACAAAAAGUAGUGGAGAAGCCUUCUUCAGAGAAGAGCAAACCCAACCCCGGAGUGCAUCUCUCACCUGUACAUCUCUCCUUUGAGUGAUGGAUUUCCAGCCAGGGGUGUAAGAUUCAAUCAUGCUUAUCGCUGUGUUCAGCCCUGCAUAAUGAGAUAAUCCUAACAAUGUCCAAUUCACUUUAAAAUCAAGCCAAGGUACCUUCUUCCAUAACCUUCUGCAGCAGCAGCUCUCACAGGUGAUGAAAGAUGUCUGGGUAUUUAUUUUCAUCCUAAAUUUGCCAUUUUUAAUUUAACUGGAUGCUUGUUCUCAUGUGAUGUGAUAAAGUGAAGGUCUGAUGCUGUGUUCUUGAGAAUUUUGACUUCCACAAUCAGCUCCACUUUAAUCUUCUUCUCAGCAAAAUAAUUCCAGACUGUGCCAUCUCUCAUAUGUUAAUCCUAUCAGCUCUGUAAUUAUUUUCAUUAUAAUUUCUCGAGCAUUUUUGGACUCUGCUACUUCUUCUGAGAGAAGAGGGUAAAAAUAUGAACGCAGAAUUAAUGGGGAUCUGUGGCAUAAUCCUGUGUUAUCCUGAUGGUUUUGGCAUUCUGUUCUAUUUUUAUUUAAUAAAUGUAAACAAUCCUUUUAUAUUUUAAGCUGC
ensembl:lncRNA